UACCACGGAGUCUAGCAUGUGUGCGAGUCAUUGGGUUCGAUCGUAACAGACGAAACCGAAAGGCGUAACGAAAGUGAAGGCGGGCGCUAGCCGUCCGCUCAGGGAGGAUGGAGCCGCGAUCUCGGUCUGCGGUUCUCGCACUCCCGAGGCGUCUCGUUUCCAAUCAGUGAAUGCAGGCGCGCUCUGAGCACAGAUGCUGGGACCCGAAAGAUGGUGAACUAUGCCUGGUCAGGUCGAAGUCAGGGGAAACCCUGAUGGAGGACCGUAGCGAUUCUGACGUGCAAAUCGAUCGUCGGAACUGGGUAUAGGGGCGAAAGACUAAUCGAACCAUCUAGUAGCUGGUUCCGUCCGAAGUUUCCCUCAGGAUAGCUGGCGUCGAUGUUUGAACAGUCUCAUCCGGUAAAGCGAAUGAUUAGAGGCAUUGGGGCCGAAACGACCUCAACCUAUUCUCAAACUUUAAAUGGGUGAGAGCUCCGGCUUACUCGAACGAUGAAGCCGGAGAUCUGAUGACGGUGCCAAGUGGGCCAAUUUUGGUAAGCAGAACGGCGCUGUGGGAUGAACCAAACGUAGUGUUAAGGCGCCUAAAAAACGCUCAUGGGACACCAUGAAAGGCGUUGGUCGCUCAUGACAGCAGGACGGUGGCCAUG
rnacentral:rRNA from 1 species